GUUUUUUGUGUUGUCUUUUUCCACGAUCAACUGUCACGUUACAAUAGUUGUUCAACCUAAUUAUCUAAGAGCCAAUGACAUUGAGUGACAAACUUGUGCUCCGGUUACACCAUGGAAAGACAAAAAGCAAGUCAGCAAGCAGAGCGUUUCCUGUCACCUACAUACUGGCCGCGACCAAGUUCACUGUUGCCGCAACCAGCAUUUCCUCCAUGCGCCCUCAGUCUUCACGAGACCACGAGAUCAGAGCAUAAAAUCAUGCCCGCUUGAGAGAGAGCAUAAAAUCAAAGUUCAUUUUGAACCCUAAACGGAGAGUAGCUAGCGUAUGUAGGAACGUGUGUAAUGUCAGAGAUGGACUGGUGCCUCCAGAAGCUGAUGGUUGACCUCUGUCUGCACUGGAGCCUGUUCAGUCACUCCGCCAGGCCGCCCCUGCAGGAAACGACACACAGACCCCACCUUCAUGACGUGGUACCGACAUGAUGUCACCCAGGUAGCCGUUUGAUCAGCAGCAUCGUCCUGGAAACAUCUGCAGACCUUGUGUAUGUUUGUGUGCGUGCCAUGCAACGAUGAUUAUUUCCCUUGCAUUGUUUCUCAAUAUCCAAGAUCUAGCUUAUUAUGAGAGAGAUCAUACAGUUGAAGUCGGAAGUUUACACACACCUUAGCCAAAUACAUUUAAACUCAGUUUUUCACAAUUCCUGACAUUUAAUCAUAGUAAAAAUGCCCUGUCUUAGGUCAGUUAGGAUCACCACUUUAUUUUAAGAAUGUGAAAUGUCAGAAUAAUAGUAGAGAGAAGGAUUUAUUUCAGCUUUUAUUUCUUUCAUCACACUCCCAGUUGCUCAGAAGUUUACAUACAGUCAAUUAGUAUUUGGUAGCUUAGUCUUUAAUUGUUGAAUUGGGUCCAACGUUUCGGGUAGCCUUCCACAAGCUUCCCACAAUAAUUUGGGUGAAUUUUGGCCCAUUCCUCUUGACAGAGCUGCUGUAACUGAGUCCGGGAUGUAGGCCUCCUUGCUCGCACACGCCAUUUCAGUUCUGCCACAAAUGUUCUAUAGGAUUGAGGUCAGGGCUUUGUGAUGGCCACUCUAGUACCUUGACUUUGUUGUCCUUAAGCCAUUUUGCCACAACUUUGGAAGUAUGCUUGGGGUCAUUGUCCAUUUGGAAGACUCAUUUGCGACCAAGCUUUGACUUCCUGACUGAUGUCUUGAGAUGUUGCUUCAAUAUAUCCACAUAAAUGUUCCUACCUCAUGAUGCCAUCUAUUUUUUGAAGUGCACCAGUCCCUCCUGCAGCAAAGCACCCCUACAACAUGAUGCUGGCUCCCCCGUGCUUCACGGUUGGGAUGGUGUUCUUCGGCUUGCAAGCCUCUCCCUUUUUCCUCCAAACAUAUUGAUGGUCAUUAUGGCCAAACAGUUCUAUUUUUGUUUCAUCAGACCAGAGGACAUUCUCCAAAAAGUAAGAUCUUUGUCUCCAUGUGCAGUUGGAAACCGUAGUCUGGGUUUUUUAUGGUGGUUUUGGAGCAGUGGCUUCUUCCUUGCUGAACUGCCUUUCAGGUUAUGUCGAUAUUGGACUCGUUUUACUGGGGAUAUAGAUACUUUUGUACCUGUUUCCUCCAGCAUCUUCACAAGGUCCUUUGCUAUUGUUCUGGGAUUGAUUUGCACUUUUCGCACCAAAGUACGUUCAUCUCUAGGUGAUAGAACGCGUCUCCUUCCUGAGCGGAAUGACAGCUGUGUGGUCCCAUGGCGUUUAUACUUGCGUACUAUUGUUUGUACAGAUGAACAUGGUACCUUCAGUCAUUUGGAAAUUGCUCCCAAGGAUGAACCAGACUUGUGGAGGUCUACAAUUUGUUUUUCUAAGGUCUUGGCUGAUUCAUUUUGAUUUUCCCAUGAUGUCAACUACAGAGGCACCGAGUUUGAAGGUAGACCUUGAAAUACAUCCACAGGUACACCUCUAAUUAACUCAAAUUAUGUCAAUUAGACUAUCAGAAGCUUCUAAACAAUGACAACAUUUUCUGGAAUUUUCCAAGCUGUUUAAAGGCAUAGUCAACGUAGUGUAUGUAAACUUCUGACCUACGGAAUUGUGAUACAGUGAAUUAUAAGUGAAAUAAUCUGUCUGUAAACAAUUUUUGGAAAAAUGACUUAGUUUGUUAACAAGAAAUGUGUGGAGUGGUUGAAAAACGAGUUUUAAUGACUCCAACCUAAGUGUAUGUAUGGAAAAUGUUAAUUUUGUCUUCAGUCUUCAAACCUUUGAAAUGUCCUUUUCUUUUUGUUGGAGUCCUAUGGGUCCUUGGAGUUCCUGUCUGUAUGUUUCUGGGGCGUCUGCCGCACUGCCAGAGUGGACCUGACCCAGUCAGUGACCGACCAUCUGCUGCCCUCUCCCUCCCCAGUCUGCAGAGGACACUCAGCAACAACCCCAGCCUCCGGUCUGCAGAGGACACUCAGCAACAACCCCAGCAUCCAGUCUGCAUAGGACACUCAGGAACAACCCCAGCAUCCAGUCUGCAUAGGACACUCAGCAACAACCCCAGCCUCCAGUCUGCAUAGGACACUCAGCAACAACCCCAGCCUCCAGUCUGCAUAGGACACUCAGGAACAACCCCAGCCUCCAGUCUGCAUAGGACAUUCAGCAACAACCCCAGCCUCCAGUCUGCAUAGGACACUCAGCAACAACCCCAGCCUCCAGUCUGCAUAGGACACUCAGGAACAACCCCAGCCUCCAGUCUGCAUAGGACAUUCAGCAACAACCCCAGCCUCCAGUCUGCAUAGGACACUCAGCAACAACCCCAGCCUCCAGUCUGAAUAGGACACUCAGCAACAACCCCAGCUUCCAGUCUGCUCUGGGUCAGGGUGUCAUUGCUCUUUCCUUCUCCCUCCCCAUCAGACGGGUAGUUGGAGAUGUCAGUGUCUGCCAUUGGUCUAUUAUUAAGAGCUUUACACAUCAUACCAUGAUAUCAAUGUAAUAUGUUCAUUCCAACUGUCAUUGUUUUGGCAGGUCUUUUCCUUCAUUCAAAUAUUUGAUCCAACACUUGGAUGCCUUUUAUGUGGCAUAUUAUUGCAAAUCAAGUAUUAUGUACAAUAGGAUCAAAAACCUCUCUUAAACUGUCAUCAAUGAGGAUUAAGGAACUUAUGUGGAAUUAUAAAGGGUGGGCACAAAGGAACAUGCUGUUACACUAACAAUAACAGAACACUGUGUUUUACUACUGUUUUGUUCGGCACACACAGCACACCUGGAUAUAGGUUCCCAUGUGGAAAAAUCCAAGACACUCUCUCUCCACCCUGUCAUGUGCAGACAAGACCAGCAUACCAGCCCCCUUCCUUGUCAGCCACCCACCCCACCCCAGUCCCCUUCCCUGUCAGCCACUCACCCCACCCCAGUGCAGCCUACCAGCCCCCUUCCCUGUCAGCCACCCACCCCACCCCAGUCCCCUUCCCUGUCAGCCACUCACCCCACCCCAGUGCAGCCUACCAGCCCCCUUCCCUGUCAGCCAUCCACCCCAGUCUACCAGCCCCCUUCCCUGUCAGCGACUCACCCCACCCCAGUGCAGCCUACCAGCCCCCUACCCUGUCAGCCACCCACCCCAGCCUACCAGCCCCAUUCCCUGUCAGCCACUCACCCCACCCCAAUGCAGCCUACCAGCCCCCUACCCUGUCAGCCACCCACCGUAGCCCACGCAGCAGCAGCCCAGCAGCACGCUUUCUGAUUUGAAUCAACUUGGCCCUGCUAGGCAGAGUGCCAGCAGACGUCACACUCUAACUAGCUACAGAGAGCAGGAACACGAUGUUCCUGGCUUGUCCUAAAAAAUGUGUUCAUUUACCCUGUCUGCACUGAAUGCAUUGGAAGUAAGUACACAGCUCACACAGCUCUCCCUCUCUCUCGACCUAUGAGGGCCAGGACCUGCCUCCUAGCUAGCAUGUUGUUGCUGAACCAACAGUAGUAAAAGGCUGCUUUAUAACCCUGCUGGCACCGCCUAGAUGUGGUACUGAUGAACUUAUUAACCCUGUUGGCUGCAAAAAUGCUGCGGCGGACCUGGGUUCAAAUGCCAUUUGAACUCUCUCUUUCAAAUAGUUUGAGUGAUUGCUUUAGUGCCUGCCUGGAGUGCCAGGUGGGCGGGGCUUGUACUUUUGGGACCUUUUUGGUUCCAUUGCAACCGGUAAGCUCAAUCAAGUGCAGUUAUUUGAAAUGAUCUCAAAUUGUUUCUGAACCUAGGUCUUGGCUUUGGAAGAUUAUGCUUGGGUGUGGAUUUGCCUUCAUCUGGCAAAUGGCUAACUCUCUGGCCGUGAAAUACAUUGUCACCAUGCAUGCUCCUUUUAUCUACCC
ensembl:lncRNA